rnacentral:rRNA from 1 species
UACGUAGGCAGCGAGCGUUGUUCGGAAUUACUGGGCGUAAAGAGUGUGUAGGCGGUGCUCUAAGUUCGGUGUGAAAUCUCCUGGCUCAACUGGGAGGGUGCGCCGGAAACUGGAAUGCUUGAGCGUGGGAGAGGAAAGCGGAAUUCCCGGUGUAGAGGUGAAAUUCGUAGAUAUCGGGAGGAACACCAGUGGCGAAGGCGGCGAUCUGGGAAGAUACUGACGCUGAGGUGCGAAAGCGUGGGGAGCAAACAGGG